CAAUCUUGGUAGGUUGUUAUGAGAAAUAAACAAAUGAAUACUUGUAAAACCUUGAGAAAGGCUCCUGAGUACAUAGCACUUAAUGAUUGAAUUUCUUGUCGUUAUUACUGUUAUUAUCUGUAGAAGCAGUAUAAUAGUCAUACAUUCAUUUCUGAGGGUAUGUUCAUUGGUGCUGCUCCGUGUUCAUGCUCUUAAUCCAAAUAAACUCCAGAUUUUUUUCACUAUGAUUUCGCCCUCUAAAACCUGUAAGAGUGCUUCCAAGAAUUUGCCUCGUCUUCCUCAUUAUGAUAACACACUAAGACCAUCUUUGAUGUGAAAUCACUUCUAGAGUUUCUAAUUACUCUGGUCUUUCCACCUUUCCUAAGAUAGCUGUUCCUUGUUUGUAAGUUUAGCUUGUAUUUAUAAUUAGCUUUGAGCCUCUGCUUUUAUCUGUCCACUCCAGGUAUCCUUUCCAUUCUCUUGAAUAAUUUUGCAUUUGAGCAGUCAGUUUGCGGUCACACCUAGCAGUGAUGUUCAAGUUGGGGCGAUUCUAAGAAUGGUCUCAAAAACUGUAAACAUGCCAGCUUUCAGGUCUCUGCGUUUUCUUCAGAACACAUCUUAGUUUUCCUUUUGACAUGCCACCAUUUUAACUUUUUAUUAUAGGUUCACAGGAAGUUGGAGAAAAUUGUACAUAGAGUUCUUUGAACACUUCCCUCAGUUUUUGCCAAUGGCCACAUCUUACAUAACCACAGUGCGAUAUGAAAACCUGGGAGGUAACACUGAUACAAUGAUGUUAAGUAGACGGACGGGCUUGCACAGGUUUCACUGAUUUUUACAUGCGUGUGUGUUUCUAUGCAAUUUUAUCCCAUGUGUAUUCAUAUGAACAUUAUUACAAACAAAAUACAGAAUUUUCCCCUCACUAUAAAGGAACUCCCUCAUGCUACCAUGUUAUUGUCAUACCUGCCCCACCCCUGUCCCCUGGUGACUCCUAGUCUGUUCUCCACCUGCUUAAUUUUGUCAUUUUGAGGAUGCUAUAUAAAUAGAAUCACACUGCAUGUCACUCUGUGAAAUUAUUUUUGUUCAUUAAACACAAUGCCCUUAAGAUCGAUCCUAGUUCUUCAUUUAUCAGAAGUCUGAUGCUCUUUAUUGCUGAGCAGAAUCCCACCGGGGGAAUGCACCAGAUUUUAUUCAUCCAUUCGCUAUUGGAGGACGUUGGGGUUGUUUCCCCCAUUCUACUCUGCACGAUCCUGUGUAAGUUCUUGUGGGAAUGUGUUUUCAUUUCUCUGGGAUAAAUGCUCAGAAGUACAGUUGCUGGGUCAAAUAGGUAGUGCAUGUUUGGUCUUAUAGGAAACUUACACUUAUUUUCAAAUUAUUUUCUGGAGUGACUGUACCAUUUUACAUUCAACCGGCAACAUAUGAAAGAAGUGCCAUUUUUAAUAACAAUAGUAUUUGCUCCUUGAAGAAAUCUAUGAAAAUCCAGAUUUUGAAAAAUAUAGGGCUUUUCUGGCGAUGAAAAUGCCCCACACUUAGAUCAUGGUGAUGGUCGUACGACUCUGGGAAUGCGCUGAAACCCACCGAACUGGAUGCUUUAAAUGGCAGAUUUCAUGGUGUGUGAGUUAUGGCUCAGUGAAGACAGUAAAAAAGAAGGCUAUUAUAGGAAGGGAUCUCAUUAUAUUACAAAAAAUGUUAUUCCUUCACCAAACUUCUAAUAUUUAUGAAGAAUUUACCAUGUGGCAGGCAUUACAUGCAGUGCUUUCUAUACGUCAAAUCCUGACUCAUCUACUAAGUCACAUGAUCUUUUAACCAUUGUUAACUUCUGCAUCCUUUUCUGUAAAUGGGAAUAGUAAACAUUACCUCACUUGGUGAGGAUUAAAUGAAAUAAUGCUUAUGAAAUCAUUUAGAAUGCUGCCUGUACAGUGUCAUUAUCCUUAUUAUCAAAUUCAUGAAGACAUUUUCCUCUCAGCAGCUCAUAUCUACUUGAUAACAGUGUUAUGAGAGACAGAGCUGUGCGUAUUAAUAAAAGAUGACAGGUCUUGCAAUUGUGUAUAUAGGAGGACAAGGAAAGCAACUGACAUCUAUCGAUCACCCCGUAUGCACCAGACACUAUUUACUAGCCAGCAUGUUGCAUAUUUGGUCCAAAUAUUGCUCCAUGACAGGAAUAGUAGAAUCCUCAUUUUAUAGAAGAGGAAACAACUCAGAAAGGUUCAGAAAAUUUCCGAGUUUCGUAAAGCAAGUAUUUGAUGUAGCCAGGAUAGAAAACCAGGUCUGUGUCCCAAGUUCAUGUUUUUCUGCCUGCACAGAUGAAGGGAAUUGAUAUAAAUUAGACUUUUCCUCAGACGCUGCAAUUAAUUGAGGGCACUGCAGUUUUUCUCUCCUUUUUUAUUCAGAGUCUAUAAUUUAGCAUUUCUAAAGUUGUUGUAUUUUAAAUAUUUUAAACGUAUUUUAAAAAGAAAUCUGGAGAUCCUUAUGGCAGUUCAAAAAAAGCCCCAAUGAUUUAUUCAACCCGAAUUUCUAACUGUUUAAAGCUUGAAUCAAAGCUGCACUGCAAAAUGCAGGACUGCUGGUGGGAGAGCCCUUUGCCAGCAGUGCUCAGGAAGACACCUAGAGGUUAGAAGGCAAAGCACCCCGUGCCGAACUCCAUUAGAAAACAAAACAAAAAUCAAAAACUAAUUUCAGGCUAAGAAAAUUGUUUGUAAUAUUAUGGCAUCAAAACCAUUUCUCAAGUUUUUUCACCCAUGGAUUAGUCUUUGUGUUCUUUCCCUUUCUUCUUCAAACUCCUUUCUCUUUAGAAACUGCCAAGUGCUGUAAUGGAAGCAAAGAUGGGCCUCAAAUGUCAGCCAGUUGAUUGAGAAAAACAACAAAGAAAAGUUGUUUCCUUUGUAGUGAGCCUCAGAGAAUACGCAUCAUUCCUCAGGUUUAUGAAGGAACUUGGCUGCAGGUUCCCACUGGAAAGAAACACAAGGAUUUGGAAUUCUGCUCGGAAAGCUUAGGUCUUCCUGAUUUUCUGGAUCAGCAGAGACAGACUCAUAAUAGGCGCUUACAUUGAUGUGAGACAGGAGACCUGUGGGUAGGAACACACUAACUUACUCCCAGAGCUUUAAGUGGCCUGCUUCAUGUGAUGGCAUGUUAUGACUUAUUAUUUCACUUCAUCUAUUUUAUUAUGAGCGGGAGAAACAAGGGCUAGUUCCAUAUGAUUAACAAAACAAAACAAAAGUCUUGGGUUAGUUUAAGAGAUUCUCUGGACCAUGAGAAAUAACCUGAAAACUGGCUGAAAAACCUAACAAGAAUGAAAAACGGCACGCUGCAAGUUCCAGGAGGAGGCUGCAGAGGUCAGCUUCGGAUGCAUUUCAUUUCACAUUGUCACUGGUGGCUUGGGAAGAGGCUGUAAACCUAUUAUGGUGAUUAUAGCUGCAGAUGAGGGUAGCUAGGAUGGAGUUACAGACACUAGUGUACAUGGUACAGAGCCACUGAGAGAGAUUAGAAAAACAGGCAGGAAAUGAGCAAAUGAGAUCAGCCUGGAGAGGUAGAAACAAGCAUCUGGAAAAAUACAUAAUUUGAAAACCAGAGAGGUACUGAAAGGGAAGAUCAUACUUGGAAAGCAACAAUGGUAAAUAGACCUUUGAGUGGAUGUAUCAGUCCUGGACAUGUUUGUAACACGAUGGAAAAAAUCAUCUAAGGCUUGGUGUGCAUUUAGCUUUUUGGAGUGCAUUUUUUUCCUGAAUGGACAUUUCCAUUAUUUCAUUUGAUCGUCGGCCCAAAGAGGUUGGAAGCAAGUAAUUUAUUCUCCAUGCAAGAGAUGAGGAAAUGUUAAGUGAAUUGCUUAAGGUCAAACCAUUUGUUAAUCAAAUAGACAUGGCUAGAAUGUGGGUCGCUUGACUCCUUACUCUUUUUCUUUCACAACACCACCUUGUCUUUAAGUCUUGGAUCUCAGAAUAGUAAUUGUUUCUGAUUCAGCAUUUACCCAUCUCUUUCUGACACUGUGCCCAAUUUUACUUCACUGGAGACUGAGCUUAGUAUUACUGAGGCUUUGAACCAGACCCAAAACUCGCUUCUGCCCCCAGGCAUCUAGGAGGAAGCGAGGCGCUAUAUGGUGUGUUCACUAAGAGUCAACCUCAAUGUUAUCCUGUUGGCAGGCAAAUGAGUCCAUACAAAACUCUGCUGCCCCGAUCAGCCCCUUUGUCCUUCAGGAUUCUGCUCCAGGGAUCUGGACAGUACACUGCAGGGGACUCUGGGGCCGGCGGCCCACCCAGGUGGAGGCUUCCCACAUGCAGCUGGAUGUGUGAACCUGAAGCCGACGGGAGAGGACUGGCUGGAAAGAAGGGUUGGGAGGCAUUAUCUUAGCAGUGGAGUGAAUGCAUUAAUUUUGGGGGGCCAUGCACACUUUUGAGAAUCUGAACAAAACUGGAGACUCAUCUUCCCCAGAAUAACUGUGCAGAAAUAUAUACCCACAGAAUUUGUUUGACUCUCUUUUGUGGAUUCACGGGGCAACAUCGUGCACUAUUUUAAUUAAUGGGAUUAAUCCAGUUUCUUGGGGGCAUUCACAGAUUAUCAGGUACUUGCCAUUAUUUCACCGAAUCCUCAUGCCACGUAAAUUAUCUCCAUUCUACAGAGGUAGAAACUGAGCUUGAAAGAACUGUCCGGGGACGCCACAGUCAGCACACGGCAG